rnacentral:lncRNA from 1 species
CCAGUUGGGUUCCGACACCGUUCCUUGAGGUUUGAAACUGGGACCAGUUGGGCUCCAUCACCAUUCCUUGAGGUUUUCCAGAGGAAAACCAGUACUAGCACCUGGGCAGAGGAACUGGGACCAGUUGGGCUUGAGGUUUGGAACUGGGACCAGUUGGGCUCCGACACCGUUCCUUGAGGUUUGGAACUGGGACCAGUUGGGGGCUCCAACACCGUUCCUUGAGGUUUGGAACUGGGACCAGUUGGGGGCUCCAACACCGUUCCUUGAGGUUUGGAACUGGGACCAGUUGAGCUCCAGCACCAUUCCUUGAGGUUUUCCAGGUGAAAACCAGUCCCAGCACUUGGGUUGAGGAACUGGGACCAGGUGGGGGCUCCAACACCAUUCCUUGAGGUUUGGAACUGGGACCAGUUCGGCUCUGACACCAUUC